UCCGGCUUGUCACCGGCGGUCCCUCUAGAGUGCCCGGCCCAACCCGCUGGCAACUAGAGGUAAGGGUUGCGCUCGUUGCGGGACUUAACCCAACAUCUCACGACACGAGCUGACGACAGCCAUGCAGCACCUGUGACGGCCUCCCGAAGGAACCCCGAGCUCGCGCCCGGCUUUUGCCGCCAUGUCAAGGGCUGGUAAGGUUCUGCGCGUUGCGUCGAAUUAAACCACACGCUCCGCUGCUUGUGCGGGCCCCCGUCAAUUGCUUUGAGUUUUAAGCUUGCGCUCGUAGUUCCCAGGCGGGCCACUUCUCGCGUUAGCUAGGGCCCCCAGCGACGGAGAUUCCGCCACCAAAGGCCGAGUGGCCAUCGUUUACGGCGUGGACUAC
rnacentral:misc_RNA from 1 species